GUGAAUCAUCGAAUUUUUGAACGCGAAUUGCACUCUCUGGCAAUACGGAGAGUAUGCCUGUGUGAGGGUCAGUAUAAUCAAAAUCGGAGCGAUGCCGUGGGGGUGACGGACGGGAGUUUGGGUCAUCUUAACUCUUUAAGAGACCUAAAAUUAACAUUCUUUUUUUGCUCACUUUGAGACGUACAUAAUUUUUUUUAUUCGUCUACCCUGUGGCAACAAUUUUUCUAGAUCGUGACUAACA
rnacentral:misc_RNA from 1 species